UACAGAGGACCCAAGCGUUGUUCGGAUUUACUGGGCGUAAAGGGUGCGUAGGUGGCGAGGUAAGUUUGAUGUGAAAUCUCCGAGCUCAACUCGGAAAUGGCAUUGAAUACUAUCCCGCUUGAGUGUCGGAGGGGAGACUGGAAUUCUCGGUGUAGCAGUGAAAUGCGUAGAUAUCGGGAGGAACACCAGUGGCGACGGCGGUUACCUGGAGCUUUGCUGACGCUGAUGCGCGAAAGCGUGGGGAGCGAUCCGG
rnacentral:rRNA from 1 species